rnacentral:rRNA from 1 species
CUGGCCUACGGGAGGCAGCAGUAGGGAAUAUUGCUCAAUGGGGGAAACCCUGAAGCAGCAACGCCGCGUGGAGGAUGAAGGUUUUCGGAUUGUAAACUCCUUUUGUUAGAGAAGAUAAUGACGGUAUCUAACGAAUAAGCACCGGCUAACUCCGUGCCAGCAGCCGCGGUAAUACGGAGGGAGCAAGCGUUACUCGGAAUCACUGGGCGUAAAGAGCGCGGAGGCGGGAUAGCAAGCCAGAUGUGAACUCCCAUGGCUUAACCAUAGAACUGCAAUUGAAACUGUUAUUC